rnacentral:rRNA from 1 species
AAUUGUUUAAGAGCCGCGGUAUAUUGACCGUGCAAAGGUAGCAUAAUCAUUAGGGGUCUAAUUGAAAUCUAGAAUGAAAGGUUGGACAAAGGAAAAACUGUCUUUAUAAUAAAGAUUGAAAUUUACUUUUAAGUGAAAAGGCUUAAAUUAUUCAAAGGGACGAUAAGACCCUAUAAAGCAUUUUGUUGGGGUGACAUGAGUAUAAUUAUUAACUGCUUAAAGAACAUACUAUUAUUAAAAAUGAUCCUUUAUAGAGAUUAAAAGAUUAAGUUACUUUAGGGAUAACAGCGUAAUUUCUUUUGAGAGUUCUUAUCGAAAAAGAAGAUUGCGACCUCGAUGUUGAAUUAAAAUGUCUUUAUAAUGUAGCCGUUAUAAGAGAAGGUCUGUUCGACCUUUAAAUUUUU